GUGAGUGUUAGAGUGAGUGUUAGAGUGAGUGUUAGUGUGUGUGAGUGUUAGUGUGUGUCUGCUAGUGAGUGUUAGUGUGAGUGUUAGAGUGAAUGUGAGUGUUAGUGUCUGUCUGCUAGUGAGUGUCAGUGAGUGUGUUACUGUGUGUGUCUUACUGAGUGUGUGUGUGAGUGUUAGUGUGUGUCUGCUAGUGAGUGUCAGUGAGUGUGUUACUGUGUGUGUCUUACUGAGUGUGUGUGUUAGUGAGUCUGUUUGAUGUCUGUUAGUGAGUGUGUGUUUGUCAAUGAGAGUGUACGUUUUGUAAGUGAG